GCUACGCCACUGGCCUUGAUGCAUCAAUGGUGCAGUUUUAUCAUAACUGUCACCAUUGAAUAAAACCAAGGAAAUGAUUAAAACAGGGUGUCGGUUCAGUGAACUAAACAGGCGGUAUUUGCAUUGAAGCGGUUUCAGUGAAUAAAACUGGUUCAAUGCUUUCCCUCCAUUUCUAAAUUCACAUGGAGCCACGCGAUUUCUACGAGCAAUAUGACUCCACUUCUACUUUCUCUCCUACACAACUCUACUUCUCCACUUUUUCUCCCACACAACAGCAAUGAUAUGGAAAGUUUCCUUCGUUGAUCGUGAUUCUGAAUCGUUGAGGUCGGAUUUAUAUUCAAUCGACGCAUUGAGAAUUGUGAAAUUCAACAGAGAGUCGAGAAAGGUCGAGAACAGCUACUACUCUACACUCCUAGUACGCAGAAGUUCAAUCUAUAUUUUCUUUAUACUCGCGGUUUUGAUUUCUUUCCUCUUAGCGGUGACGAGGCUCUUAAACUUUUUCAAGAGGAUCUUGCGCUAUUAAAUAUUGUCUUUCAACCUUGGAUUCAGCAGAGAAGACUUGAAUACGCAAAGCAUAAGCAUGUAAUCUCUGGAAAAUUUUGAAAUAUCUGGAAAGGAAAUCAUUAGGGAAGCUCCUCAAAGAUGAUGGUGAACCUAAUGAAGAUAUUAUAAAAAGGUUAUUUAAGCAAAUUGAUGCAGAUAAGAAUGGACACCUUUCAAUUUCUGAGUUAAGAGCACUGAUUAUUGUCAAUACAAUCA